GGUUAAGUGAAUAAGGGCGCACGGUGGAUGCCUUGGCACUAGGAGCCGAUGAAGGACGGGACUAACACCGAUAUGCUUUGGGGAGCUGUAAGUAAGCUAUGAUCCAGAGAUUUCCGAAUGGGGGAACCCAAUAUCUUUUAUAGGAUAUUACUUUUCAGUGAAUACAUAGCUGAUUAGAGGUAGACGCAGAGAACUGAAACAUCUUAGUAUCUGCAGGAAGAGAAAGAAAAUUCGAUUCCCUGAGUAGCGGCGAGCGAAACGGGAAGAGCCCAAACCAACAAGCUUGCUUGUUGGGGUUGUAGGACUCCGAUAUGGUAGUCUGUUAGUAUAGUUGAAGGAUUUGGAAAAUUCCGCUAAAGAGGGUGAAAGCCCCGUAGACGAAAUGCUAACAACACCUAGGAGGAUCCUGAGUACGGCGGAACACGAGAAAUUCCGUCGGAAUCCGCGGGGACCAUCCCGCAAGGCUAAAUACUCCCUAGUGACCGAUAGUGAACCAGUACCGUGAGGGAAAGGUGAAAAGCACCCCGGAAGGGGAGUGAAAUAGAUCCUGAAACCGUGUGCCUACAACAAGUCAAAGCUCGUUAAUGAGUGAUGGCGUGCCUUUUGUAGAAUGAACCGGCGAGUUACGAUUGCAUGCGAGGUUAAGUCGAAGAGACGGAGCCGCAGCGAAAGCGAGUCUGAAUAGGGCGAAUGAGUAUGUAGUCGUAGACCCGAAACCAUGUGAUCUACCCAUGUCCAGGUUGAAGGUGCGGUAAAACGCACUGGAGGACCGAACCCACGUACGUUGAAAAGUGCGGGGAUGAGGUGUGGGUAGCGGAGAAAUUCCAAACGAACUUGGAGAUAGCUGGUUCUCUCCGAAAUAGCUUUAGGGCUAGCCUCGGAAUUGAGAAUGAUGGAGGUAGAGCACUGUUUGGACUAGGGGCCCAUCUCGGGUUACCGAAUUCAGAUAAACUCCGAAUGCCAUUCAUUUAUAUCCGGGAGUCAGACUGCGAGUGAUAAGAUCCGUAGUCGAAAGGGAAACAGCCCAGACCACCAGCUAAGGUCCCAAAAUAUAUGUUAAGUGGAAAAGGAUGUGGGGUUGCACAGACAACUAGGAUGUUGGCUUAGAAGCAGCCACCAUUUAAAGAGUGCGUAAUAGCUCACUAGUCGAGUGACCCUGCGCCGAAAAUGUACCGGGGCUAAACAUAUUACCGAAGCUGUGGACUACACCAUUAGGUGUAGUGGUAGGAGAGCGUUCUAAGGGCGUUGAAGGUCGAUCGUGAGGACGGCUGGAGCGCUUAGAAGUGAGAAUGCCGGUAUGAGUAGCGAAAGACAGGUGAGAAUCCUGUCCACCGUAUGACUAAGGUUUCCUGGGGAAGGCUCGUCCGCCCAGGGUUAGUCGGGACCUAAGCCGAGGCCGAUAGGCGUAGGCGAUGGACAACAGGUUGAUAUUCCUGUACCAGUUGUUUUUGUUUGAGCAAUGGAGGGACGCAGUAGGCUAAGGAAUGCAUGCGAUUGGAAGUGCAUGUCCAAGCAAUGAGUCUUGAGUAGAGUUAAAUGCUUUACUCUCUAAGGACAAGUUGUGACGGGGAGCGAAAUAAUAGUAGCGAAGUUCCUGAUGUCACACUGCCAAGAAAAGCUUCUAGUGAGAAAACAACUGCCCGUACCGUAAACCGACACAGGUAGUCGAGGAGAGUAUCCUAAGGUGAGCGAGCGAACUCUCGUUAAGGAACUCGGCAAAAUGACCCCGUAACUUCGGGAGAAGGGGUGCUGACUUCGGUCAGCCGCAGUGAAUAGGCCCAAGCGACUGUUUAUCAAAAACACAGGUCUCUGCAAAAUCGUAAGAUGAAGUAUAGGGGCUGACGCCUGCCCGGUGCUGGAAGGUUAAGAGGAUGGGUUAGCUUCGGCGAAGCUCAGAAUUGAAGCCCCAGUAAACGGCGGCCGUAACUAUAACGGUCCUAAGGUAGCGAAAUUCCUUGUCGGGUAAGUUCCGACCCGCACGAAAGGCGUAACGAUUUGGGCACUGUCUCAACGAGAGACUCGGUGAAAUUUUAGUACCUGUGAAGAUGCAGGUUACCCGCGACAGGACGGAAAGACCCCAUGGAGCUUUACUGUAGUUUGAUAUUGAGUGUUUGUACCACAUGUACAGGAUAGGUAGGAGCCGAUGAGACCGGAACGCUAGUUUCGGAGGAGGCGCUGGUGGGAUACUACCCUUGUGUUAUGAACCCUCUAACCCGCACCACUAAUCGUGGUGGGAGACAGUGUCAGAUGGGCAGUUUGACUGGGGCGGUCGCCUCCUAAAAGGUAACGGAGGCGCCCAAAGGUUCCCUCAGAAUGGUUGGAAAUCAUUCGAAGAGUGUAAAGGCAGAAGGGAGCUUGACUGCGAGACCUACAAGUCGAGCAGGGACGAAAGUCGGGCUUAGUGAUCCGGUGGUUCCGCAUGGAAGGGCCAUCGCUCAACGGAUAAAAGCUACCCUGGGGAUAACAGGCUUAUCUCCCCCAAGAGUCCACAUCGACGGGGAGGUUUGGCACCUCGAUGUCGGCUCGUCGCAUCCUGGGGCUGUAGUCGGUCCCAAGGGUUGGGCUGUUCGCCCAUUAAAGCGGCACGCGAGCUGGGUUCAGAACGUCGUGAGACAGUUCGGUCCCUAUCCGUCGCGGGCGUUGGAAAUUUGAGAGGAGCUGUCCUUAGUACGAGAGGACCGGGAUGGACUUACCGCUGGUGUACCAGUUGUUCUGCCAAGGGCAUUGCUGGGUAGCUAUGUAGGGAAGGGAUAAACGCUGAAAGCAUCUAAGUGUGAAGCCCACCUCAAGAUGAGAUUUCCCAUUUCUUUAAGAAAGUAAGACCCCUGAGAGAUGAUCAGGUAGAUAGGUUGGAAGUGGAAGGCUAGUGAUAGUUGGAGCGGACCAAUACUAAUCGGUCGAGGACUUAACCAA
rnacentral:rRNA from 1 species